CCCCCUGAGAUCUACAGUUACAACUGGGACCUGCUCACUGAGAUGAGUCCAGUGCUGAAGAUGGCAGAAGGGGACACCAUCUAUGACUACUGCUGGUACCCCAAGAUGAGCUCCCUGGAUCCUGACUCCUGCUUGACAACGACCAAGGAGAGUGAUGGAGUGCUGCAUCAG